CAGGGCUUUCCUGAUGGUCUCCUUUGCCUUCCUUCUCCACUAAGGAGGACAGCCAGCAGCAGCUCAGCCCAUGCUGUUAACCCACCUUUUCCACACACGCCAGCCCCCUGUCCACAGCACCCAAGGCUGCCUGAGGGAUCCUUCCGCAGCUCCUAUGCGCUGACAGUGACUCUCGUGUUUCCUAGGUUUCAAGUUUCUUUCAGCAGAGCUUCCUAGAGAGAAGUCCACAGAGAAAGUCGUGGCCGUUUUCAAAGUGAGAUCUUUCUUUGACUAAGAUGGGAAUUGUAUUUCUCUUGGCUUCUUCCUAUUUCAUUUGAAUUAAGAUAUGCAAACCUUACCAUGGACAUUAUAGAUAAGUUACAGAAUUUCUUGGUGGGAAAAUGUGAGAGUUCAUGACCAGCUAGGUCAUGAUGGCACGCAUAGAUGACACCUUCAGUUACAAACUGUGUGCAGGUAACCUUUUCCUCAGGAGAAGUGCUUACUGUUUGAAAACAAUGGUGAAUUUGCAACAAAAAUCAUAUGAAAGUCUUAGACAAAACUCUCGUGCCUGCCUUUCCACAAGUGUCUUCUAGGCUUUAUUUUGGAGCCAUUGCAUCGAACACUAUUUCUCAUCUGGUUUUCUAAUGUCAGCCACUGAAGAAAAGACCUGUGCACACAGGACACAGCCUGGUCUGACGCUCACGGUGUUUUCCUUUCUCUCUGCAGAGGGACUCAGCGCUUUGGGCAAGCGGUCCCAUGGAGGGUCCCGUGGAAAAAUUCAUCUAUGAAUCAGAUGAGGAGGCCCCACGACAGUGGCAGGCCGGCGGACUGCCUGAAGAAAAAGGUGUGUGUGCUGGAAUCACUCCUUUGCUAAGAAAAGAUCGUCAGGGUUGCAAAAGGUGGCACUUGCUCGCCUGCUUUUGCUGGAGAGCCACUUUGGUUUGAGCUUCCUGAGAGAAAUGAGGUUUGGACAGUUUGGUAUAAAAAACACUGAGUCCAGCAGAGAACUAUGACCAUCACUCGAAUCCGGGGAGGCAGGAUUGUCAUGUAGAUGGAACAGUGUGUUGUGCCUCAGGGUCGGGAGGUACGGAGGAGAGAGUCAUGUGGAGGGAUUGGGAAUGUCUUUGGGAGUGUGUGGGCAUUUCCCCAGAAAGCAUGUUCCCCUGUGCAGAGCACAACCCAAGGAGCAAUGUUUCUAAGAAGUUGCAUCACCACUGCACACUUCACAUAAAGUAACGCAUUCAUCCUCCCCCACAGCUGUACCUGAAGGUAAAUUUUAUAUCCUCAUCCUCAGAUAGAGACGGUGCAGAGAUGAAUUUCCCAGGCUCUCAAUCUCCUAAAUGGAAGAGGCGAAUGUGAACUCAGCAAUGGGAGGAGGAUUGGUACAGUGGGUGACUAUUGUGCAUUCACCAGCCAGCCCUGGUAUAACUCACCAUUAGUCCAGGGAGUUCCGGCCUCUGUGUGUGCAUGUGGAAGGAGGAGAGCCUAGAGAGGUCCCAACACUGUCUGUCAUUGUAGGCAGGGCUCAAAGGCUGCCUAACCCAGGGUUGCAGUAGGUACAUUUUACACUGGACUUUGGUGUGGUCAUUAGUGUGAAACACACAGAGCGAGCUCACAGGCUUCUGGCAGUAGUGGUGGGGUCAUUUCUCAGCUCGUGGUCAAAAGCAG
rnacentral:lncRNA from 1 species